ACUCAAAGGAAUUGACGGGGGCCCGCACAAGCAGUGGAGUAUGUGGUUUAAUUCGAAGCAACGCGAAGAACCUUACCAGGUCUUGACAUGGGGAUGCUCGGUACAGAGAUGUACCUUUCCUUCGGGACAUCCCACACAGGUGGUGCAUGGUUGUCGUCAGCUCGUGUCGUGAGAUGUUGGGUUAAGUCCCGCAACGAGCGCAACCCUUACGGUUAGUUGAUACAUUAAGUUGAUCACUCUAGCUGGACUGCCGUUGACAAAACGGAGGAAGGUGGGGACGACGUCAAAUCAUCAUGCCCCUUAUGACCUGGGCUACACACGUACUACAAUGGCAGUCAUACAGAGGGAAGCAAAGCCGCGAGGUGGAGCCAAUCCCUAAAAGCUGUCCCAGUUCAGAUUGCAGGCUGCAACUCGCCUGCAUGAAGUCGGAAUUGCUAGUAAUCGCGGAUCAGCAUGCCGCGGUGAAUACGUUCCCGGGCCUUGCACACACCGCCCGU
rnacentral:rRNA from 1 species